AGGGGCUUAGCUCAGUUGGUAGAGCGCCACCCUUACAAGGUGGAUGUCGUCGGUUCGAUCCCGGCAGCCCCUACCA
rnacentral:tRNA from 1 species